rnacentral:rRNA from 1 species
UACGUAGGGGGCAAGCGUUGUCCGGAAUUAUUGGGCGUAAAGAGCUCGUAGGCGGUUUGUUGCGUCGGCUGUGAAAUCCCGAGGCUCAACCUCGGCUCUGCAGUCGAUACGAGCAAACUAGAGUGUUGCAGGGGAGACUGGAAUUCCUGGUGUAGCGGUGAAAUGCGCAGAUAUCAGGAGGAACACCGGUGGCGAAGGCGGGUCUCUGGGCAACAACUGACGCUGAGGAGCGAAAGCGUGGGGAGCGAACAGG